AUAGUGCAGUUUUUUUUAAGGCUGUCAAUUAAACCUGGGUUUAGAUUUAAAGACAUGGAAGAGUAUUAAUAUGCAAGAGAUUUUUCUUUUGUUAUUAUUUGUUAAAACUGAAUGAUUUGGAAAACUCUCACUUUGUGACUGUAUAAAUCAGUGAUGCUAGGGAUUGGAAAAUAAUCAAGGACAGGGUGAUAUGAUGCAUCCUGAUUCAAGAAGGAUAACAGAAAGUGGAUUGUUUCCGUAAAACAGCAUGCCCUGAAGUGUUUUAUUCUCACGGUCACCCAUUACUAUGUUGAAUGGCACUGAAUGCUUUUUAAACCAUUUAUAGCUACAUUAACUUUUGUGCAAUGUCUAUGAAGUAACUUCCUAUUUUUCUCUUCCUGAGUAUGUCCUGUGUGACAGAAUAGUGCAAUGGUGACGUGGAUGUCACAAAACACCAGUGAGUUCGAUCCUCAGCACCAGUAAGAGUACUGGGAUGUAUGGGAACAAAUUGUGUUAACUCAAUUCAAUCAUAUAUUUGUCCGUGCUUUGAUGUAACAGAUGGAUGUUGGAUGUGUCCUAAACCACAAAGCAUGAUUUAAAAUAGCCCUGGUCGCGAUGAGAAAAACAGAUUUAGGAAGUUGGAUGGUACAGCUCUGUGGGGGAGAAAUGGUUUUCUACAUGCAACAGGUGAAGUGGGAAAUAAAACCUGCUGGGGUUGUGUGAUACAACCUGACACAAAGAGGAGUCACUUAACACCCUGAAGUUUUUUUCUAUAACCUCACAUGCCAAAGUUUUAUUAUAUCACAUCAUUUAAUUAAAGAACUGCACAUUGUACUUUGUCUGCAUUUACUUUUUUUGUUGUUGUUGAAUGUCAACAAAUCAAAUCACUUAUCUUAUAGUUGUUGUUUUUUUUCAUGAACAAGACAGACAGAUGCAGCUUGUCAUUUCACCAAGAAACCACAAAGCCCUCCUUCCUGAAGACUUUUUCAUGGCAUGAAGUAUCACGUUAUGGCUUUACCUUUACCAUGCCUAUAAAGCCCUAACACUGGAGACUCCUUCCAAAAAUGUCCAACAAUCCAAACAUGUAGGUUGUUUCUCUGGAAAAAAAAAAAAAAUUAGAAUAAGUAAUAAGGAGAAGCAGCACACACAAUUUUAUUUGUUCAUUAAAAAAAAUUUAAGAAGAGAUGAAGAUCAGAUCCCAGUGCAGGAGCCAUUCGUGCAGAAACCCACACAAUUCCAAAACAUUAACAAACUUGCCGAAUGUUUUAACUUGACCUCAAAUGAAAAUCAGUGCUGGUCACUCCCUACAUGGUGAAGUAAAUCUUUUCCCUUCAGUGUUAAACAGUGAGCAGACCGGCAUGCCAGCCUCAGCCGAUGGCAACAAUGGGGGUUUUUUUCCACCACAAAAACUGAAACAUAUGAGAACUAUCAGCACAUGUUUUAUAUUUUGAAAUUACUGCAAAUAUUUUUCCUUUUUUGGACUCAAUGUUCCGGUUCAUUUCUCUAGAGCUGCGAGGAAGCUGUUAUUAUGCAGCCAAGUGGCGCCGCCUGUUGGUCAAAUGAAACACUGACGAAGCCAAAUACCUUCUUUGGUUUUUAAAAAAAAUAUAUAGAUAGUAAAUUAUUAAUAGCUAAACAAUAAUUUACCACUCACUCUCUGACUGUGAAGUAUGUUACAAAACACACUGAGAACUUCUUAUUUAUAAAAGGUCAUAAAAGGUUUUAUGAACAAAUGUAUAUUACAAACUAUAAGUGUAAUAGAGUAAGAGUAAGUAAGUGUAAACUAUAACUAUAAAUAACAUUAUCAUACAUCAUAUUAUUGUUUUUGUAGAAUAUAUAUAUAUAUAUAUAUAUAUAUAUAUAUUUAUUUAUGCUGUCACAGCUUAUUAUUUGGAACACCAGAAAUGAACCUGCUUGAACAUCCUGCAUAUAUAAACACUUGAUUACAAUCAGCUUAUGUUCUUUUAACCAAAUUUAACCAAGUUGCUUUCAUUUUUAUUUUUGUUUUCUUCCAUAACAUAUAGAGUUCGUUAUCUUAUGCCAUAUAAAUACUGUAU